CAUGGGGCGGAUACAGGAACAGGGGCAAAUAAGGGAAUACCACAUCUGCCUCAUACCUGAUCCAGCCCAGCCCAGACUCCCCUGCCAAGUAAGAAACUGUGUCUAUUAUCACACCAAGGAGUGACCCUCGUCCUGGUGAGGUCAACAGCAGCACUGUCACCAUAGGCAGAUCUACCUAUCGGGAACUGGGGACUCUCUGCACUCCUACCUCUCAACCCAGAGUCUGCCAUAGACAGAAGACCUAAUCCUGUUGUGACUCUGUCAUGGGUCUCAGGCUUCUCCACUGCAUGGCCCUUUGUCUCCUUGGAGCAGGUCACAUGAGUGCCAUGGUCACCCAGAACCCAAGAUACCAGGUUACCAGGGAGGGAAAACCAGUGACCCUGAGUUGUUCUCAGAAUCUGAAUCAUGAUACCAUGUACUGGUACCAACAGAAGCUGAGCCAAGCACCAAAGCUGCUGUUCUACUACUAUGCUCAGAAAAUUUACAAUGAAACAGACACCUCUGACAACUUCCAACCCAGAUGGUUUAACACGUCCUUCUGUUCUCUUGGCAUCCGCUCACCAGGCUUGAGGGACUCAGCAGUGUAUCUCUGUGCCAGCAGCAUGGACACAGAGCUAAAGUGUUACCUCCCCUCUGCUCAUAAACCUUUCUGUUUCCCAGAUCCAAGAGCCUUCUUAGACCUCCCUCCCCUCCCUCAGCAGCAACAGGAAGUCCCGCUCCUCCCUUCCCUGGAGGAGGAGGUGGAGGAGAAAAACUGCGAGGGGGACAAAAGAGCACAGUGA